GAUGAACGCUAGCGGCAGGCUUAAUACAUGCAAGUCGAGGGGCAGCAGGACUGUAGCAUUACAGUUGCUGGCGACCGGCAAACGGGUGCGGAACACGUACGCAACCUACCCAAAACUGGGGGAUAGCCCGGGGAAACCCGGAUUAAUACCUCGUAACCUUUCUAAGUGGCAUCGCUUGGUAAGUAUAGCUCCUGCGGUUUUGAAUGGGCGUGCGCCUGAUUAGGUAGUUGGUACGGGUAACGGCCCACCAAGACUGCGAUCAGUAACUGGUGGGAGAGCACGACCAGUCACACGGGCACUGGGACACGGGCCCGUGUCCUACGGGAGGGAGCAGUAAGGAAGAUUGGUGAAGGGACGCAAGUCUGAACCAGCCAUGCCGCGUGAAGGAUGAAGGUCCUCGGGAUUGUAAACUUCUUUUAUGGGGGACGAAACCCGGAUAUUCUUAUCCGAUUGACGGUACCUCAGGAAUAAGCACCGGCUAACUCCGUG
rnacentral:rRNA from 1 species